CUUUGCGAUGCGAAAUCAUCAUCAGAACUGUUACUGAUGUUCCUAUGGUGUAGAAUUGGUGAAGUCAUAAACGAGCAGGUCCAUUUCUUCAAAAUUUCAUCCUUUCCUCGGCAUUCUUGGGUACUACUCAGGAGCUCUCAUGGGUUUGCUGCAGUGGGACUAUGGGGGAAAACAAGUUCAAUUUUAAGAAGUUAAUUUUUGAUUUUACGGUUAGGCAUGUUUUCACGAGAUUCACUCGACCGUUCAACAGAUAUUCAAAUGUUUUGUAUUUUGUUGAGUGAUCAUGUAACUUUAAUUGAGUACAAACUUGUCGAUAAAGAUUGAGGGAUCAACUUGCUUUCAAGCAAUAAGUUUGAGGUCCUAUUUGCAAUUCUCCCAUAAUCAUUUAUUAGUAACUUCUUUUCAAACAAA